rnacentral:rRNA from 1 species
UACAAAGGGUGCAAGCGUUAAUCGGAAUUACUGGGCGUAAAGCGUGCGCAGGCGGUUUUGUAAGCCAGAUGUGAAAUCCCCGGGCUCAACCUGGGAACUGCAUUUGGGACUGCAAGGCUUGAGUACGGCAGAGGGGGGUAGAAUUCCUGGUGUAGCAGUGAAAUGCGCAGAUAUCAGGAAGAACACCAAUGGCGAAGGCAGCUCUCUGGGACGGUACUGACGCUGAGACGCGAAAGCGUGGGGAGCGAACAGG